AAUGGGACAAUUGGGUUUAGGUAAAGAAGAUCGGGACAGUUGGGUUCCAGAAAAGAAGAUCGGAACAGUUGGGUUUAGGAAAAUCAGAACGGGACAGUUGGGUUUAGGAAAAUCAGAACGGGACAGUUGGGUUUAGGUAAAGAAGAUCGGGACAGUUUUAUUUAGGAAAAGAAGAUCGGGACAGUUGGGUUCCAGAAAAGAAGAUCGGAACAGUUCGGUUUAGGAAAAGAAGAACAGGACAGUUGGGUUUAGUA